CUACGGGGUGCAGCAGUGAGGAAUAUUGCACAAUGGGGGAGACCCUGAUGCAGCAACGCCGCGUGGAGGAUGACGCAUUUCGGUGUGUAAACUCCUUUUAUGAGUCAAGAAAAUGACGGUAGCUCAUGAAUAAGCACCGGCUAACUCCGUGCCAGCAGCCGCGGUAAUACGGAGGGUGCAAGCGUUACUCGGAAUCACUGGGCGUAAAGGACGCGUAGGCGGGAUGUCAAGUCAGGUGUGAAAUCCUAUGGCUCAACCAUAGAACUGCACUUGAAACUGGCAACCUAGAGUAUGGGAGGGGGAGAUGGAAUUAGUGGUGUAGGGGUAAAAUCCGUAGAUAUCACUAGGAAUACCUAAAGCGAAGGCGAUCCCCUGGAACAUUACUGACGCUAAGGCGUGAAAGCGUGGGGAGCAAACAGGAUUAGAUACCCUCGUAGUC
rnacentral:rRNA from 1 species